CAUAUCAUAUUUGAAACACCGUUCCCGAAUGAUCACCAAAGUUAAGCAACAUCGAGCCACGUCAGUACAUAGAUGGGUAUUCGCUUGGGAAUACCAGGUGCUGUAAG